CUUCCGUUCUGAUUAUACUAUGGACAAUGCUCUGGAAUCUGUGGUUCAAAUCACAGCUUUAUACCAAUCGUUCUUGAAAUAGUACCUUUAAAACAUUUU